AUGUGCAAAAUUUUAGUAUUAUAUGAUUAUUCUUUGUAUAUUACAAAAAGUGCAAUUUCGAUGCAUAGUUGUGUUCAAGUUUCUUUUUUUUUAUUCUUCUUCUUAAAGGGAAAUAUCAACACCACUAAUUCAUUAUUUAAUGUUCAUUCUAUUUUAAGGGUAAUACCAAUGCUACUAAUUCAAUUGUUCUUAGAUUUUCUUUGCAAAAGUUCCACUUAUAUAUAUAUAUGUAUUCUUGCUGAUUUUAAAAUAGCGCAAUUUUCAUGUAUAUUUGUGCAAAUUUUGUCAAUGUUUGUUUUAGAUUAUUUUUUUAUUUUCUUUCUUCUUAAAUGGUAA
rnacentral:rRNA from 1 species